UCAUCUUAUUAGUUCCUGCCCGCAGGGACUAUAGUGGAGGCCUCUUUCGUUAACUCGUGAUUAAUGCAAUUGCAAUGAGCGAAUCAAAAAUCAGUAUUCACAAAUAUUUUUCCUUUUGGCUAAUGUCAGAGCCUUGCACGCUUCUCGACGAGAGAGAACGCACAAGUCCAGAGGCAGUUGCAGGGGAUUGGCGUUAUUCACCAUCUGUAGAGGCUUGCACGCUUCUCGACGAGAGAGAAUGCACAAGUCCAGAGGCAGUUGCAGGGGUCGCCGAAAUGAAAGUUUGUAGAGCGCAGACAGUAGAAAAACAUGGCCCGCAAAAGAGACCUGCAAAUUGAAAGCAACAUUUGGCGAGAUCGCAUGUAGUAUGCAUUCAAACUACACAGUUGUCCCUGCCAUGAAUUGGUAUUAACGAUGCUUGCAUUUUCUUCUCUGGUAAAUUUUAUUUCAAACUUGCAUAUAAAAUGUGAUGAUAUAGUUGAUCUUUGAGUUUUUGCAAGCUUCCACUGGAGCAUGGACAGGUGGCGAUUGGGGGUUUCAAUUUUUCCAGUUUUAAAUUCCAGAGGCUACAUUUUCUCUGUCAUUUUUUGCUCUGGUACCAUCUUGGGUCUGCCUCUGCGAUCCCCUUAACCUUGUUUCGAGAUACGUUGAUAACCCCAAGUUUAAUUGUUGAUCCUGCACCAGAAUCAACCUUAGUGCAUUCAUCUCUCGCGCAAGUCCCUUGGUCCGAGUCUCGUCCGGUAACAUUUGGCUAUUAGGGCUAUAGCUUUCUCUGCAUGCUGGUUUCAAGUGGAGGAUCGUGGAAGACUUUAGGGCAUAGGGUAGAGCGUGAGCCCUAAUUAAAAAUCUUUGUUGCUGCUAGUUGGAUCAGUUGGCUCCUCAUCCUCGAUAGGUAUUCAAAAGAUGUUGCUAUUAAUGGCGGAUAGGAACAAUCCUCUGAAACCAAUCUUCUUUUUCCAGGGAUAGAGCAUAAAUACUCUGCGGGUUUAAAUUGACGUCCAUUUCAUCAUCGCUAGGGGUUGGAAUCUGCAAUUUUGCCGAGAUAAUUGUAGAUACCAACAUGAGAGAACGCACGACCCACGAUGUUUCUUGCAGCAUGUUGCAAGAUUCGAUGCUAAAAUGGCAGGGAAUGAUACCUCCACAACCUAAAAGUGUUUGGCAGUUUCUUCUCCUAUUUUCAAAUUCAGAUCUUUGAAUGUGGAGGCUAAAAAUAGUCACAAAAACACAAUCAGAAAGCCUAUAGAGAAGCUCAGAGCAGCCAAAAAAAGUCUACAAAGAAAUUGAAUGAGAAAAGGAAAAUGAAAUUAAACAGUUCAUUACCAUUGUACUAGUUUUGUACAUAGUUAAUUGACAAACAAUGUUCAAGACAAGAAUCAAUUAACAAUGCUCAAGGAAUAUAUGUCAAUACAUAUACAUAUUUCCUCUUUU